UAUAUAAUUUGUUUUAUUUUUAUUAUUAUAAUUGAAUUUAUUAAUUUUAUUUUAUUUUUCUUAACUUUUCCUGCAUUUGGAUCAACUUUUAGAAAUUAUAUUGAAUUUUUAUCUAAUUUAAUUUGUUUUUAUUAUUUAAAAUAAUUAAAAAUAUUUUUUAAUAAAAAGUAAACUUCCAUAUCACCGAUUUUUACCUAGUAAUGAACAGUAACCAAUCACAAUUUUGACGUGUGCAAUAAUUAAGUUAGUCUCGAUGUUUAUAUGUUAUUUAAACAAGUUCAUUGUUUAAUGUGUUAUCAGUUGAGCUUCAAGGUUUAAAGUACAAACUUUUGUCAACUUCAUGGUUUUCUUAUGCGAUUUUAUCAAUCCAUUUCAGCCAAAACUUUUCACAUUCACUAUUGAUAUUGUAGACUAGAUAAUACACAUACUUUGAUUUCUACUAGAUCUCGAGCAUGCUGAUGAGUUUCUCAAUAAGUAAAAGCCUCUUUAUAAUUCAAGUAAAUAUAAUUUUCUUGCCAUUGACGUGAAAUCGUUCGAAGAAUCAAAAUAUUUAGUAACAAAUAGAUCCUAUAAAUUCUACUAGGGGCUAUACCAAAUUCUGAUUUAGUUCAGCUUAAGUAAACCAAUACUUCAUGGAAACCAAAAAUCCAACUUGAAUGCAAUUUUAAAAAUCCGCACCAAAUCAAACCGACUAAACUAGUUUAUGUAUCCUAAGAAACCCCGAAAUUAGGAAGUAAACAAACCGAUUAUCGAUGCUUUAGAUUAUAAAGUCCAGUUGGACUGGGGGGAGAGUGUGCAAAAAAUAAUUACUGGGGCCAAAAUUAUAUUUUUAUAGAAAAGGGGAUGGUUUAGUUAAUUUGAAAUCUCGUUUCAACAAUCGAGACAAGUUCAUUCAAAUCAAGUAAGUACAGUAUAAUGCAAAAAUUGGGUUACAAGUCUCCAACAACUUCGGCGCUCAUCCGCACGACUCUGCGUCGAAUCAAGUUGGUGGUAAGCUUCAUUACCUAAUCCUCCGAUCACAGCUUCUUUUGUUUCGUUGCUUAGAUGAACAGAACCAAUGCUCUUCUAACCAUCCUUACCCAAAUCAAAGCACUGCGCCAUACUCAACAGCUCCACGCGAAUGCUAUAGUCCAUGGACUCGAAGAAGAAGUCGUUCUCGGAUCCAGUCUCACAAACUCCUACAUCCAAUCGAAUCGUCUCGAUCUCGCCACCGCUUCCUUCGAUCGAAUCCCUCCCCGGAAGAGGAACCGUUACUCGUGGAACACGAUCCUCUCCGGUUACUCCAAAUCCAAGAAUCACUGCGAAAGCUUGCGUCUUUACAAUCGUAUGAGGAGGGAUUGCGAUGGCGUCGUCGACAGUUUCAAUUUAGUGUUCGCGAUCAAAGCUUGUGUGGGGUUAGGGGUUUUAGAGAAUGGGGUUCUGAUUCACGGAUUGUCGAUGAAGAAUGGGUUGGAUAAGGACGCUUAUGUGUCUCCUUCUUUGGUCGAGAUGUAUGGAGAGCUUGGUCGUAUGGAAGAUGCGCAGAAGGUGUUCGACGAAAUUACUCUGAGAAGCUCGGUUCUUUGGGGGGUUUUGAUGAAAGGGUAUUUGAGAUACUCGAGAGACUCUGAAGUGUUUCGUUUGUUUUAUCUCAUGAGAGAGGCGGGUUUGGGGGUCGAUAAUGCGCUUACGUUGAUAUGUUUGGUGAAGGCUUGUGGGAAUGUCUUUGCUGGUAAAGAAGGGAAGUCAGUGCACGGUUUAUCCAUCAGAAGGGGGUUUAUAGAUCAGAGUGGCUAUUUACAAGCCUCUGUUGUAGAUAUGUAUGUGAAAUGCAGGUUGUUGGAUAAUGCUAGAGAGAUGUUUGAAACAAGUGUUGAUAAGAAUGUGGUGAUGUGGACAACGCUGGUUUCUGGAUUUGCAAAGUGUGAGAGAGCUGUUGAAGCCUUUGAUCUGUUCAGGCAGAUGCUGAGAGAAUCUGUUCUUCCGAAUCAAUGUACUUUAGCGGCUCUUCUUGUUUCUUGCUCGAGCUUGGGGUCUCAGAGGCACGGGAGAAGUGUUCAUGGUUACAUGAUAAGAAACGAGAUUGAAAUGGACGCUGUAAAUUUUACAUCUUUCAUCGACAUGUACGCUAGAUGCGGGAACAUUCGAAUGGCUAGGAAGGUUUUCGAUAUGAUGCCAGAGAGAAAUGUGAUAUCUUGGAGCUCUAUGAUCAAUGCUUUUGGGAUAAAUGGUAUGUUAGAGGAAGCUCUGGAUUGUUUUGGUAAAAUGAAGUCGCGGAACCUAACUCCAAAUUCCGUGACAUAUGUCUCGCUUUUGUCGGCCUGUAGCCAUUCGGGAAACAUCAAAGAAGGACGGAAGCAGUUUGCGUCGAUGACAAGUGACUACAGGAUUGCACCAGAGGAAGAGCAUUACGCGUGUAUGGUAGACUUGCUAGGUCGAGCUGGUGAAGUUGGUGAAGCUAAGUCUUUUAUCAAUAACAUGCCUGUGAAACCAAUGGCCAGUGCUUGGGGAGCUCUUCUGAAUGCAUGUAGAAUCCAUAAAAAAAUCGACUUAGCAGAAGAAAUAGCAGAGAAGCUUUUAUCCAUGGGAUCCAAUGAAUCAAGCGUCUACGUGUUGCUUUCCAACAUAUAUGCUGAUGCUGGGAUGUGGGAGAUGGUGAAUAGUGUGAGAUCGAAAAUGGGUAUGAAAGGAUAUACGAAACCCAUGGGACUGUCUGCUAUAGAAGUCGCCUAGAAACAUUCAGCUAUUGAUCUUGCAGCCUAGUCAAAAUAAUACAAAUCGGGUAUACGUGAGCAAGCAUUCAAGUUCCCAACCACUUCACCGCUCAUCCGCACGGCUUCUUCAAAUCCGCGUCGAAGCAAGUUGUUGAUAAGCUUCAUCACCUAAUCCUCUGCCGAUUCACAUCACCGUCACAGUUGACCAUGGCAAAUGCUCCUGCACUUUGAUUUUUUUUCCUGUAAAUGCCACUCUGUUUUCCGAAGUUAUCGUCUCACAACGGAGGCAAUGCUAUAGGAUCUCUACGACUAGGGAAAUAUACUAGG